GAACGCUGGCGGCAUGCCUAACACAUGCAAGUCGAACGAGACCUUCGGGUCUAGUGGCGCACGGGUGCGUAACGCGUGGGAACCUGCCCUUAGGUUCGGAAUAACUCCCCGAAAGGGGUGCUAAUACCGGAUAAUGUCUUCGGACCAAAGAUUUAUCGCCUUUGGAUGGGCCCGCGUUGGAUUAGCUAGUUGGUAGGGUAAAAGCCUACCAAGGCGACGAUCCAUAGCUGGUCUGAGAGGAUGAUCAGCCACACUGGGACUGAGACACGGCCCAGACUCCUACGGGAGGCAGCAGUGGGGAAUAUUGGACAAUGGGCGAAAGCCUGAUCCAGCAAUGCCGCGUGAGUGAUGAAGGCCUUAGGGUUGUAAAGCUCUUUUACCCGGGAUGAUAAUGACAGUACCAGGAGAAUAAGCUCCGGCUAACUCCGUG
rnacentral:rRNA from 1 species